GGGAGGUGGAGUCAUCUUCACUGUGGAGCCCAAGCCGUUUGCUGACCAUUGUGGCACAGAGGAAAGGGACAAGGGGAACCCUGGCUCUUAAAGCUUCUGCUUCCAUUUGCCAAAGUGGAAAAAUGAAGCACAGAUGAAGGAACUGCUAGAGUCACACACCUGCAGUGAGGCUGCCAUUCAGUUAUAUUUGCUCUCUGUGUCUGGACCCUUCACCAGCUGUGUGGAUCCGUGAUGGACAAGAUGAAGCCAAUUGUUC